AAGUCGUAACAAGGUAACCGUAGGUGAACCUGCGGUUGGAUCAUUACCAAUCCCGACUCGCAAGAGUCUCAACACUUGUGCACUAAAUCUGUUUCUGGGUCCUUUCGAGGGCCCAAACUAUAAACCAUAUUGUCUUAUUCAUUACUAAAUGAAAACAACUUUUGACAACGGAUCUCUUGGCUCUC
rnacentral:misc_RNA from 1 species